rnacentral:misc_RNA from 1 species
UGAUGAAAAUACUACAUGCAAGCCUGAAAGAAUUGUGAAUGGCAUAUACUGUAAAGCUUCACAACGUGAAUUUGAAUAAAAUACCAUGGGCCUCGAAGAACCAUUUCUUCUCCUGUAAUCUUCCAGCAGCCUUACAAUGCAUACUUGCGAGGAUUUCUUGAAGCUUCAUCUGACGGCAAUUCUCAACAAAAAAGAAGCCAUCAAUGGCAAUGGGAGGUUCAUUUAAUAGCUCCCGUCUCUUUGCGACGUAAAGAAAUAUAAACCACCUAGCUGAGCAGAUUUAAAACAUAGUCUUUCCCAUUCAUAGUUAUUUUUUUUC